AAAUUGACUCAGCGCCAGGUCUGCUGCAGUUUGCUGGAGGUCCACUCCAGACCCUAUUUACCUGGAUAUCACCAGCGGAGGCUGCAGAAUAGCAAAGAUUGCUUCCUGGUCCUUCCUCUGGAAGCUUCAUCCCAGAGGGGCACUGGCCUGAUGUCAGCUGGAGCUCUCCUGUAUGAGCCUCCGGUAAUCACCAUUUUACUCUCUACCUCCAUGAGAUCAACUUUUUUAGCUCCCACAUUUGGUGCUCCAUCUAUACCAGGUUGCUAGUCCAUGUUUGGACUUGGAUGAAACAGCAUACUGUGAGGCAUGAAACCUGGCUUCCUGAGUGGCAGCCGAGAGGAGAGAUGUAGCUGAACCAAUCAGCUACAACCUCAUUCCAGUGUUCAUACUUACAUAGUGGAAAAUCCUCUAAAGCUCACUUCUGAGAGACCACUAAUUUCUAGAUUUCACAUUUCCCGAAUCCUGUAUAAGAUCAGUUCUUUCUUGGU
rnacentral:antisense_RNA from 1 species